rnacentral:rRNA from 1 species
UGGGGAAUUUUGGACAAUGGGCGAAAGCCUGAUCCAGCAAUGCCGCGUGUGUGAAGAAGGCCUUCGGGUUGUAAAGCACUUUUGUCCGGAAAGAAAUCCUUGGCUCUAAUACAGUCGGGGGAUGACGGUACCGGAAGAAUAAGCACCGGCUAACUACGUGCCAGCAGCCGCGGUAAUACGUAGGGUGCAAGCGUUAAUCGGAAUUACUGGGCGUAAAGCGUGCGCAGGCGGUUUGCUAAGACCGAUGUGAAAUCCCCGGGCUCAACCUGGGAACUGCAUUGGUGACUGGCAGGCUAGAGUAUGGCAGAGGGGGGUAGAAUUCCACGUGUAGCAGUGAAAUGCGUAGAGAUGUGGAGGAAUACCGAUGGCGAAGGCAGCCCCCUGGGCCAAUACUGACGCUCAUGCACGAAAGCGUGGGGAGCAAACAGGAUUAGAUACCCUGGUAGUCCACGCCCUAAACGAUGUCAACUAGUUGUUGGGGACUUCAUUUCCUUAGUAACGUAGCUAACGCGUGAAGUUGACCGCCU